GCCAGGCAUGGUGGCGCAUGCCUGUAAUCCCAGCAACUGGGGAGGCUGAGACAGGAGGACACAAGUUUGAGGCUAGCCUCAGCAUAAGUGAGGUUCUAUCUCAA
rnacentral:sRNA from 1 species